GGGUGAUGUAUAGCUUCGGCUAUUUAUACUUGGCCGUUUAAAUUAUUAUAAGCUAUUAAUAGUCUAUAAUAGUUUAUUCGUUAUAACCGUAUACAUAUGUAUACGGUUAGCAUUACUAAUGCGUCAAUAUUAUUAGGUGCGUUAAUAUUCUUAGUUUUUAAAACUAUAAUAUUAAUUUAUUAACUUAAGAAACCCUUUUUUUUAUUUUUUAAGUAAGUGCUUCUUGAAGCCAGGGAUAUAUAUUUCUUGUUUGUUGACCGCAAGAAUAUAAUAAUCUUUUAAAAGGAGAGUAUACAAGUAUAAAAUCGAUUUUUUCGAAUAAAGUUCUAGAUAAAAAACUGAUUAUGACAAUUUUUAAAAUCUAUAUGUCUUGACCAAAAUGCGUGCCAGCAGUCGCGGCAAUACGUAUAAGACUAGUGUUAUUCAUCUUUAAUAGGUUUAAAGGGUACCUAGACGGUAUAAUUAGUCUUAAACAGGAUACGGUUAUACUAGAGUUAUAUAUGAGGAGGGGAGUAUUUAUGGAGUAGAGUUGAAAUUCUUUGAUACCAUAACGACUGGUAACGGCGAAAGCAACCUUUUAUCUAAUAACUGACGUUGAGGGACGAAGGCUCGGGUAACGAACAGGAUUAGAUACCCUAGUAGUCCAAGCAGAGAAUUAUGAAUGCCAUAGGUUAGAUAUUUUUAGCCUAUAAAUGAAAGUGUAAGCAUUUCACCUCAAGAGUAAUGUGGCAACGCAGGAACUGAAAUCAUUAGACCGUUUCUGAAACCAGUAGUGAAGUAUGUUAUUUAAUUCGUAAUUACGCGAAAAACCUUACCACAAUUUGAAUAUUAUUUACUAUAAAUAUAUAUAAUUGUAUAUACUUAUGUAAAUAUUACAAGCGUUGCACGGCUGUCUUCAGUUAAUGUCGUGAGAUAUUGGUUAAUUCCAUUAAAUUAACGGAAACCCUUGCUUUAUUUGUAUUUUUGAUAAAUAAAGCAGUACACCUUUAUAACGGUUAUGUUAAUAGGGCCAAGAC
rnacentral:rRNA from 1 species